GACGAACCGUCCUAACGUUGUUCGGAAUCACUGGGCUUAAAGGGCGCGUAGGCGGCCGGCAAAGUCCGAGGUGAAAUCCCACAGCUUAACUGUGGAAGUGCCUUGGAUACUAGUCGGCUCGAGGGAGGUAGGGGUGCGUGGAACUUCUGGUGGAGCGGUGAAAUGCGUUGAUAUCAGAAGGAACGCCGGUGGCGAAAGCGACGCACUGGAUCUCUACUGACGCUGAGGCGCGAAAGCUAGGGGAGCAAACGGG
rnacentral:rRNA from 1 species